GACGAACCGUGCGAACGUUAUUCGGAAUCACUGGGCUUAAAGGGUGCGUAGGCGGGUUGCCAAGUCUGUGGUGAAAUCCUCCAGCUUAACUGGAGAACUGCCGUGGAUACUGGCGACCUCGAGGGGUGUAGGGGCUUGCGGAACUGUGCGUGGAGCAGUGAAAUGCGUUGAUAUGCACAGGAACUCCGGUGGCGAAAGCGGCGAGCUGGACACCUUCUGACGCUGAGGCACGAAAGCUAGGGGAGCGAACGGG
rnacentral:rRNA from 1 species